rnacentral:rRNA from 1 species
AUGACUCCGGAUCACAUAGAGGCAGCCAGAGUUUUUGUUGAGACUCUCGUAUCGUCAAAGAAGCAUGCACACCAAACCAUGGUCGAUGUGCCGCCACCAGAUGGGGACAUAUGCACGCCAGCUAUGCUUCACGAUGUACUCACGUUUAAAUGGUUGAAUGGCGCUAUCACCAAUGCAUAUUGUAAACACCAACAACACCGUGAUUUUUCUGAUCAUUACAUAUCAACAACGUGGUUCCCCAAAUUUAUGUUGAGUAGGGCAAGGGGAAAGACCAAACCAGUAAAUGAUUUAGACUCAGAACAUGUUACAAAGAAAACAAAAGUCAUUGCAAGAGUAAUGGAUGAGUAUUUUAGACGGGACAAGGCGUAUUUUCCUAUGCACGUUAAUGAUAAUCAUUGGAUAACCAUAGUGAUGCACACCGUCAAAGAGGAGUUUCAAGUUCUUGACUCAAAUUCUAAAGGCGCAAUUAGCCAAAGAAUUCGCAAUCUGAUUGCCACCCUGAGAGCUGAAAUAUCUAAGGAUAUUAUGGAGGCCAACUCAACUCUUGAAUCAAAAAAAUUUCCAGAUGUCUCGUCGUGGCCAACUAAUGAGUAUAAAAUGCCGAGACAAAAAGAUAGAGUGUCUUGUGGACUUUUUGUGAUCUGGUUCAUAAAAUACUGGGAUGGAGAUCGCUGGACACAUGAAUUUGACCAGGAAGAGAUUAAUGAGUCAAGGCCACGUAUUGUCGCGGAAAUCAUUUUUUCAGAGGUGAAAAAAUUA